rnacentral:rRNA from 1 species
UGAGGAAUAUUGGUCAAUGGGCGGAAGCCUGAACCAGCCAAGUAGCGUGAAGGAUGACUGCCCUAUGGGUUGUAAACUUCUUUUAUGCGGGGAUAAAGUUCGCCACGUGUGGCGUUUUGCAGGUACCGCAUGAAUAAGGACCGGCUAAUUCCGUGCCAGCAGCCGCGGUAAUACGGAAGGUCCAGGCGUUAUCCGGAUUCAUUGGGUUUAAAGGGAGCGUAGGCCGCCUUUUAAGCGUGUUGUGAAAUGUAGGGGCUCAACCCCUGCACUGCAGCGCGAACUGGAGGGCUUGAGUACACACAAAGUAGGCGGAAUUCAUGGUGUAGCGGUGAAAUGCUUAGAUAUCAUGAAGAACCCCGAUUGCGAAGGCAGCUUACUGGAGUGUAACUGACGCUGAAGCUCGAAAGCGCGGGUAUCGAACA